rnacentral:rRNA from 1 species
GACGAACGCUGGCGGCGUGCUUAACACAUGCAAGUGGAGCGACGAACCAGGGCUUGCCCUGGGGCAGAGCCGCGAACGGGUGAGUAACACGUGGGUAACCUACCCGAUGACCGGGACAACCCGAGGAAACUCGGGCUAAUACCGGAUGUUGUCGUUUUCUCUAAGGAAACCGACUAAAGAUAGCUUCGGCCUUCGCAUCGGGACGGGCCCGCGGCCCAUUAGCUUGUUGGUGGGGUAACGGCCUACCAAGGCGACGAUGGGUAGCUGGUCUGAGAGGACGAUCAGCCACACUGGGACUGAGACACGGCCCAGACUCCUACGGGAGGCAGCAGUGGGGAAUCUUGCGCAAUGGGCGAAAGCCUGACGCAGCAACGCCGCGUGGGGGAAGAAGGCCUUCGGGUUGUAAACCCCUUUCAGUUGGGACGAAGCUUCCAGAGUUAAUAGCUUUGUGGAGUGACGGUACCUUCAGAAGAAGCCCCGGCUAACUACGUGCCAGCCGCCGCAGUAAAAC